GUGCCAGCAGCCGCGGUAAUACGUAGGGUCCAAGCGUUAAUCGGAAUUACUGGGCGUAAAGCGUGCGUAGGCGGUCUCGCAAGUCCGAUGUGAAAUCCCCGGGCUCAACCUGGGAACUGCGUUGGAAACUAUGAGGCUAGAGUGCGGCAGAGGGGGGUGGAAUUCCAGGUGUAGCAGUGAAAUGCGUAGAGAUCUGGAGGAACACCGAUGGCGAAGGCAGCCCCCUGGGUUAGCACUGACGCUCAUACACGAAAGCGUGGGGAGCAAACAGGAUUAGAUACCCCCGUAGUCC
rnacentral:rRNA from 1 species